UAGGCGUUGAGAUGUUCUUGGUGAGUCAGCAACGACGAUCAGGUGGCCGGAUGAGUCAGCAAGGAGGAUGACGUGUCUGUAUGAAUGAGCAUGAAGUGUUACGUAUCGGAGAUGAGUCAGCUGCAAAGUUUACGUGCCCAGGGUGAGUCAGCAUUCAGGAUGACGUGUCAUUGGAGAGUUAGCAAGUAGGAUGACGCGGUCGUGGUGAGUCAGCAGUAAGGAUGACGUGUCGUGGGUGAGUCAGCAGUAGGGAUGACGUGUCGUAGGUGAGUCAGCAAAGACGAUGACGUGCCUUUGUGUUGACUCAGCAUAUUAUGAUGACGUGCCGUAAUGACUCAGAAUACAGCGUUGACGUGGAGGCGGACUCAGGGAUGCACUAUGACGUGUUACGUGAUUCAGUAGAAACGACGGCGUGCAAGGUGACUAACCAGGUUCCACCAGGAAAAAUUAUCCGGUUACCCACUCCGCUCCUCUCCGCCGCCGCCGCAAAGAAGCCAUUUCUUCUUCAUCUGCUGUAUUUCAAUCACUUUACUUUUACAUCGAUUGCUCCACCCAAUAAUUGUAUCCCAAUUUCCCCAACUUCCAAACCCUAAUUCUCAAUUCUCUGUCGCUCAAACAAUGGUUAAAGAAUAAUCAUAAUCAUGUUGUUCCUCCCAUCCAAACUCUAACUCUAGUUCCACAGCCUCACCGUUAUACAAGAGGGUGGCUGAGUCGGCGAAAUCAUGGAGCUGCAUCGGCGCCACCAGAAAUCAUGGAGCUGCGCGAUCGCCUCGACUAGUUGCAGGCUGUUCCUGGGCACGAGCCCGUGCUUAUUCGAGACACAACAAAGCUCAAGAUCUACGACCCCCGCCGGCAACAAAAGCUGGAGACUCCGAAUGUUGUCCUCUAUCCAUUUGAUCGUCUUUUCAUGAGAUUUGUAUAUUGAAGAAUGAGGAGUCUACUUGGAAGUGAGCGUUGUGAAGCUACUCACCAAAGAAGCAUUACACUAUUUAACUUGCAUCAAUUAGCUUAUCGUGCAAACUGGAGGAGGUUGUUUGAGGAUAUCCCAGAAAGGGAUGUGAGCUUUCUUCAAAAGUUUAGGGGUUGUGGUACCAUUUUUUUGUUUUGUUUUGGUUAAAAAGGUGUCUAUUAAUGUUUUCAUUGUGGGGUAAAAUGCAAUUAGCCCCUGCUAAUUAGAGAGUUCUUGUAAUUUCUAUAAUGUAGAAAGUGAAGGAGCUGCACAGGCUAUAUUUUCUUGCAGAUUUUGUAGAUAAUCACCAUAUGAGAAAGUGUGAUUGAGUUUGCUAAACACUAGAUCUAAGGCAACUAUAAUUCUAUGGAUGAGUAUAUGUUUUCCAAGUUUGAGAUUGAAGAACUUCUACAGUCUGCAUCUAAAAAGAUAAUAAUGAAAGUAUAAUGUGGGAUGCUCCACUCUCUCAGAUAAGUCUACUCAAAUAAUGUUGCUUGACCUUAUAAUUAGUUUACAAUGUAACAAAUCAACCAAAUCGAAGAGCAAUAUAAAAUUUGGUAUGUAUUGAACUGAGUGAAGACAUUUUAUUUCAAUUUUAACUUUUAUAUAAAUUCAGUAUUCAGUUCAAUUUUGGUUUUUAGUUGUACUCAGUUUUAUUUGGUUCUAUUCAGUAUUUUGUAUCGAGUUGGUUGCAAAAUUCUAGAUUCAUUUAAUGUAUGCAUGUGAACAUCAUUCUAGAAGGGAAAAAUAUGUGAGAGACGAGUCACAUGGAGACAUCCCGCAUAUUGUCCAAUCAUGUUUGAAGUAUUGUUAUGGUUUGCAUUCUCACAUGCAUAAUGACUUUUUCCUUUCCACUUGUUAGGGAAAGCUUCAGCUCUCCAGGGUGAUUGUAGACAUGGUCUGCUAAUCAAAUUCAAGCUCAUACUCCUGCCUGAGUUCAUAAAAGGAUUUAUGAAUUUUCAAAGCAAAUGCCUGAAGUAUUUCAUUUUCAAUCGCUUCCCCACAAAGAAUUCUGGAUCAAUUUUUUCCAGGAGUUUAUCUCAGAUGGAAGGGACAUUGGACUGUGUAUCUUUACCAGUGACAUUGAGAGGGCUUGUUCUUCCAGACAUGCAUGCUUGUGGUUCACCUAGUUGAAGAGUAUCCAGUCUGUGUCAGGUUGUCCUAAUAGCUGCUCCUAAAGAUGUGUUACAGGUCCUUGAGACUUGACAUCACCGUCGACUUCCUCUGGCUUAUCGUUGGCGCUCGUAUUUAGGUUCCAAACUCAACAAUGGCAACUAAACAUGAGGGUUAUGCUCGAUGCAGUGACUUUUGGUUUGUCAAAAGAACGUCCUCGCAUUAUUUGACAUUGAUUGGGAGCCUCACUCUUCAAGCUACCACUUAAAUGGGGACAACAUCUAUCGUGCUUGCUGGGCUUGUUGAUUCGCUUACGCUGCUUGGCGGUAACUUGGCUGACCACAGAUUCUUGUUCUUUGGUGCUGGAUAAGUACCUCUACUCUUGAUUUUCUCUUUUUCGUCCUCUAACUUCUAGCGGCUAUGGAAGGAGGAAUAAUCAACAUGACAUAGAGCGGGCUAACCUGUUGAUGAUCUGAUGAAUAUCUUAGGCAAAUGAGGCACUGAUGACUAAUAAGUUUGCUUCUCAGAAAGAUGAAUAUUGAACUCUCCAUCCUAUCUCCUUAUUUCUUGUAAUAUCCACUCUAAGACCGAAAAUCCAUAAUAAGUUCCAACCAAUUUGGGCAAACGAAAAUCUAAUAAAAAAAUAUAUGUGGAAAAACACGACCCUUUCCCCUAGAUUGACAUACCCUCAUUUUAGUACUAAUAAUGACUAUUUUCUGCACAACAGUGGAAGCUUUGGCUAGUCAAUUAACACACGAACACUGUCAUAAGGGAAUGAUUUUUCCUCCUUUUUCAAUAUAAGAAAGAUCUCUGCUCAUAUUGCUGCAAAUGUAGCUGCUAAAGCAUAUGAACUCGGUCUGAUAACACGGCUGCCUCAACCUGCUGACUUGGUUAAGUAUGCUGGAAGCUGCACGUACGCUUCAAGUUACAGAAGUUACAGAUUAAGCUCCUGCUCAUGAUGUGCGUUGUUUUGAGCAUGUUUGCUAACAUUAUGUAUAAUGUGUCUAUAUAUGUGUGCCAUAAGCUUCAUCAUGUUGUAAAAUUUGUUCAGUAGGAAUCCUGUUAGAGCAUGUCUAUAUUGGUCGCAAAGAGUUGAUAACGGCUGAAGAUUUGGUUGUGGUGUUUAGUUAUAGUUUGUAAAACGAAUGUUUUACAUCUUUGCAUGGGGUGGAGACUUGCGCUGGAUUGAAGAA